UACGAGAGGCGCAAACGUUAUUCGGAUUUACUGGGCUUAAAGAGUUCGUAGGCGGCGCAGAAAGUAGGGUGUGAAAGCCCUCGGCUCAACCGAGGAAUUGCGCUCUAAACUACUGUGCUUGAGGAAGCUAGAGGUGAGCGGAACUGAUGGUGGAGCGGUGAAAUGCGUUGAUAUCAUCAGGAACACCGGAGGCGAAGGCGGCUCACUGGGGCUUAUCUGACGCUGAGGAACGAAAGCCAGGGGGAGCGAACGGG
rnacentral:rRNA from 1 species